AUUUUAUUUAGUCUCUCUCCUCUCUUUAUUUUAUUUAGAUUCUGUCAAUGUCUCUCUCUCCUCCCAUUUUAUUUUGUUUACCAUCAUCUCUGUAAGUCUCUCCUAUUAUCUCCCAUUCUCUCCCUAUUAAAAUUAUCUCCCAUUCUUUCAAACAAAAACAAACGCUGCUUCGGCACGCUCUCUAACAAAAGCUGCUUCCGCACGCUGUCUAACAAAAGCUGUUUGGGCAAACUUUGAUAGGCAGGGUUGAACGUGGAGAACUCCGCCAUCUAAUUUCUUCUCCUUCCUCCAGCCCAGCCCAAACAAAGAAAAGCAAUCAGAUGAGAUGAGAUGUAAAAAUAUUACAGCAAAAGGUGAGCAAUCAACAGCACGGCAAGCCAUCACGAUCGAUGGAUAGUCAGAGAGAGCAAAGGAACCAGCAGUAGAUAAAGCAGAAAGUCAAGACAGAAGCCAGUGGAGGCAAAUACAAUAGGACAAUAGCAACAGGAAUCUGGAAACCCACCGGAUCUACGAGCUUCAAAAUCUUCACUUCCCAGAUCGGCCGUUGACACACCACCUCUAUGCCCAAAACCGUCAAAUAUCACCGAUCUAGGCACUUAGAUGGGCGAGAAGUGAGAUCUCCGUACACAAAGAAUCACUGUUUGGGCAAAAACAUAAACAAAAGCUGCUUCGGCACAGAGGUGGUGUUGCAAAGGGAAGAGAGAGGAGCAAAGAAGAAAAGAUAACUUGAGAAAUAAAAGGGGUUUGACGUGUCCUUCUUCCUACAUUUAUGUGCCAUGCGAAAUUGAUGUGGCUCAUUUUUUCUGGUGGGUUGCAAUCCGGCGGGUUCUGUGGUUUUUUAUUUUAUUUUAUUUUUUUUUGGCGUGGGUGACGGCGUGGGUCAGUGUGGUGGUUGUGGUUUUUGGCGGGGGUCAGUGUGGUGGUUGGGGUUUUUGGCGUGGGUCACCGUGGUGGUUGUGGUUUUUGGCGUGGGUGACCGGUGCUUAAAGGAAGAGGUGGGUAUGGCUGAAGUGGGUUGUGGGUCGUGGUUGGGUUGUGGCUGAAGUGGGUUGUUGGACGUCGGAGAUCGCCAGUGUUUGGGUCCAGCGAGGUCAUGGCGAGAUCGGCGUGGGUCACGGUGAUGGGUUUGGUGGAGAUCGGCGUGGGUCAUUCUCUCCCAUUUUUCUUAUGUCCCUAUCCCAUUCUCUCUCAUUUUAAUAGGGACAUAAGAACUACUUUCUCUUAUUUCUCCGGGGAAAAAAAAAAAAAAAAAAAAAAAAAACAAAGAAAAGCUGCUUCGGCACACUGUCUAACAAAAGCUGUUUCUGGGCAAAGUUUGAUAGACAGGGUUGAACGUGGAGAACUCCGCCAUCUAAUUUCUUCAUCCUCCAGCCCAGCCCAAAAAAAGAAAAGCAAUCAGAUGAGAUGUGAAAAUAUUACAGCAAAAGGUGAGCAAUCAACAGCACGGCAAGCCAUCACGAUCGAUGGAUAGUCAGAGAGAGCAAAGGAACCAGCAGUAGAUAAAGCAGAAAGCCAAGACAGAAGCCAGUGGAGGCAAAUACACUAGGACAGUAGCAACAGGAAUCUGGAAAUCCACCGGAUCUACGAGCUUCAAAACCUUCACUUCCGAGAUCGGCCGUUGACACACCACCUCCAUGCCCAAAACCGUCACAUAUCACCGAUCUAGGCACUUAGAUGGGCGAGAAGUGAGAUCUCCGUGCACAAAGAACCACUGCUGGAGAUGGUGGUGAUCGAUGAGCGAGGAGCUCGAGGCCAAUUCUGCUAUGGCGGCUGGGUGGAGAGAUCUCAGAUUAGAGCGUUCGAAACUAUGCGGGUCAGGUUAAACCGAUACAGCCUGUUUGCUGCCCUACCCGGUUCUAUAGGGCCUGAGUUCGGCCAGGUAAGUCUCAACAAUGUUAAACGUUUCUUUAUAGCUUCAUGUUACGUACAGCCCACAAGCCCAGCCUUGAAAAGAAAAUAGACUUGGUCCAAAUCAAAUCAAAAUUAAAACCCAAUAAACGCAAGAAUCUACUUAGCAUUUUUUUUUUUUUUUGAAUGAAAGCGGCCCAAAACCGUAAAUAGCUUUCCUUCCUCAAACUUCAGUCCAUUUAAGAUUUCACCAAUUAAUUUAAUUUUACAUCUAUAAACAUUCUCCUUUAACUCGGUGUCUGGUCAAAAUCUUUCAGUUCAUAUUUUAAUUCACUGAUAAAGACAUUAAUUACAGUAAACUAUUUUACUAAAAUUUAUUAUAAAGUAUUUUCCUAAUCUAAAUCUCUAGCUGCGAUUUUUGCGUUCUUAUUUUUUCUCGGACUCUUGGAUCUUGUGUCUGAAUCAUUGCUGACUUUUAGCUCCAUGAUGAAAUCGGUCUGUGAUUUGCCUUUACUUGAUGUCUCUAACUCAAACUCAAACUCAAACUCACCAACUCGACUCAGAUCUGAAUUCAAUCAAGCUACAGCUCCUAGUUGGAAUGAACUCCCAGCAAAUGUGAUCUGUGAAACUGCAAAUCUACUACCUAAUCAUAUGGAUUUUAAAUCUUUGCUAGCUGUUUGCAAACAAUGGAAUUCUGUCAGUCCAGAAAUUACGAGGCCUCCAUUCCCAUUGCUUAUGCUUUCCAAGACAUUAAACACCAAUUGGCGAAGUUUCUUUAAUCUCUGCGACAGCAAACGCUAUAGAUUAGAACUAUCUACAUUUGGAGGAAAACGUUGUUGGGGAUCUCCAUAUGGUUGGGUUGUAUUACUGGAUCCUAAUUCUAAUGCUCACCUUGAACACCUUGAAAAGGGAAAACAGAUCAUUCUUCCAUCACUAAACACAAUUCCAACACUGGCUGCUACAGAAGAGUGGUUUCGCCUUAUACACAAAUUCAUUAUUUUUAAGCAACCUUCCCACGAGUCAUCUUUCCUUGUCAUGGCAAUUUUCGGCCCUGAGAAUAGCUUGGCUUUUGUGAGAGUGGGAGAAGGAGCAGCUUUGAAUAGAAGAGGACAAGAUGAGUGGGUUCUUGUUGCCAAUCCAUAUGAAUUCAAAUUCAAGGAUGUUACAUGUUUUAAUGAUCAAAUAUAUGGACUCUGUGACAAUGGCACGCUCGUGUGCGUUGAACUAGAUGCUGAGGUACAAGUUGUUUCGCCUCAUCCAGAAGAUGUAUGGGAACCCCAGAAACUAUAUUUGGUGGAGUUAUCUGGAAAUCUUUUUGGGGUUUUUCGUUAUGGAUAUUAUUAUCCUUUGAAGAGGAGGUACGAGACUGUGUCUUUUUUGGUCUACAAGUUCAACUUCGAUGCAUCAUCUUGGGUAGAAGUGACAGACUUGGAAGAUCAUGCUGUCUUUGUUGGUGAUGGCAACUCCUGGUGCUGUCCUACAAUCACCAUAUCUAGCAGUAGUAAUAGCAUCUACUUCACAGACGACAACUGGGAUUGGCAAAUGUACCCAGGAGGUGAAUAUGGAGGAUGUGAUGUCGGAGUGUUUGACAUGGAAACUGCAGUAAUUCAACCCCUUCCAUUCGGUGUGGACAACCCUUCUUCCUAUUCUCGACCAAUUUGGGUUACAACUACUAUGUGAUUGCAUUAGCUUAUUUUCCAUUUUAUUAGCUUGUCUGUUUAUGUACUUUGAUUUCUCUAAUAUUGUUUGGCUUAAUUGAAGAUGUUAUGACUUCUUUGGCGGCCAAAUACAAUUUGACAUUUUGGUUGUAAGCAGGACAAAAUAUUAAACCAAUUUCUAGAAUAUGUAAGUUCUGUUGCUGUCAAUUUAAGUUUUUGUGAAUCUAUUUAUCUUAAUGUUCUGGAUUUGAAUUACAACAUCUGAAAAUGCAGUUUAAAUGAUGUUGGUAAGUAAAUUGUUCAGAGAGAGCUGUAAAGCUGCAUAAAUUAGUCUAGCAUGCUAAUUGCCAAUAAUAUGUUGAAUUGAUUUGCUUUCUUGUAGCAGCCGGAGCAAUCUUACGUGGAUUCAUUUGAAACCUUUUCCCCUUAAUCCCCUAGGGAAAGAAUCCAAUUGCAAAACUUGUUGCGAUAAUGUCCUAGUGAAAACUCUCAAAAACCGAUGGUAUCUACCCAAUCUGGCUUCUGCAGAAAACACGCAAAUCUCCCAUUUACCCCUAGUUAACAAACUCUGUAUAGUGUGGAUAGUCUAUCAUUAACAGGCAACGUACUGCUGAAUGAAUGCCAGGAACCAUUUUGCACCAUUCAUCCUAGGGUUUUCUGGUACAAAUCUCAUUCCAAGUUGAACUACAAGUGUACAGACCUGUCUGUACAUUUACCAACCCCACACUGUGUUCUCUCACCAUUCCCCAGACUCUCUCUAUUUGUAAGACUCAUUACUUGUAUUAACUGUUUCUUAUAUGACCUCUUUCUAACAAAUUAUUUUUUUUUCCCGGUUUUAGGGGAAAAAAAGAAAAAAUAGUGCAACUAAAUCAAAUGAGGCUUAUUAGGCUCAAAAUCUUGGAAAAAUAUUGGAUUUAACUUUUGGGUUUUGUUCUCCGUGCCUUAAUUUUCUCAGCAACGAAAUGGGUGUUAAGUAAUAUCUGAUUUUUGUAGUUUAUGGGGUUAUCUCUUAUCUGUUCUGUUAUUAGAUUUUUUGCGUUGGGUGAUUUUUCUUCUGAUAAAUGUUUAUAGAGCCCAUAUAUUAGAACUGGGAUGUAACGUUCUCUGGAAAUUUUUAAUUGGGAUUUGAAGUAGAUAAACUUUUUUGACUCUUUUUUGAAUUUAGGUGGGAUUUACUUGGAACUUAGUGCCCGCUUGGUUCAUCGUUUUGAGCCUAAAACCUGCAAUUUCAAAACACAACAAAUGCAUUUUAUCAAAACAUGAAUAUUAGUAUAUUACCGUUGUAAAAUACACUUUUCCUUAAAUUGCACUAAAGUCUUUACCUUUCAUUCUAAAGGCAAACACACAACUGAUCAGCCCCAUAUCUCACAAUUUCACAUGCUCCUCUCUGUAGGAGCUCCUCUGUAUUGUUGCUCCUUUGGUUCCUUUCCUUUUAUUUCAUCACAAUCCUUCAUCAAAUUAAGGGAUUUCCUCGAUGCUGCUGCUGUGUUCGUUUCCCCUUCUUCUUCUUCUUCUUUUUUUUUUUUUUUUUUGGAUUUGUCUUUAUAUAUCUGAAGCAGAACAGAGGACGAUGAGAGAGUGAGAGAGGAACGGGGAUGGAGAUCUGUUAGAUCUAUAAAGUAAAGAAGAAAUAACGCAAGAGAAAAAUUGAAGAGGAAAGAGCGAAAAAGGUUGGAGAAGGAGAAGAUAUAUUUACGUCCCAAAAAGUUAUAGAAUAAUUUGUGAUUUUAGAACUAUUUUUGAAGAAAAUGUUAGAUCACAAAAAAUUGCACAAUUUUUACAACUCUAAUUAGGGAAUUACGAGUGGUGGAAGUGUAGUCUUGUUGGACCCUCCACUUUUUUUCCAUUACUCAUAAUUUGUCACAUGAUGAGUUGUGAAAAAGUUGUGUAACUUUAUGCUGUACUAGCAUUUAAAAAGAAAAACAAAACUUUGUUGAUAGACUUGAUGAAGUGAUAAUUACAAAAAAAGACUUUAAAAUUUGGAAAUUUUUUACUUUUUUUUCUAUACAAAAUAGAAAUUUUAUUAAGCGUCUAAAAAAAAUAGAAAUUCUAUUCUAUCUUAAUUUAAGUGUAUAUAUAUGUAAAGUUUUCAAUUGUAAACACCUUUCAACCCGUUAAUGUAAACUCCCAUUUAUUGAGAUUCUCUAAAGUACUUUAUCAUAUAUAAUUUCCUAAAUCCUGACCUUCGUAUUUAAAGGUCCAAAUUAUACCAACAAGAAUUACACUAAUAAACCCAUUAAAAAAAAAAAAAAACUCUCACGUUGACUUUGUCGUUUCCAUAGAGAAGAUGACCUCUUGAAAGAAAAUAGAGAACUCAAUGAGUUCUUUCUUUCGAGCCAUCACACCUGUGCCUCCACCUCUCCCUCUGGCCUCCACUCCUUAACUCCACGCAAAGAGAAACUGAGUGUGUUGCUUUCUAGUAACCAAGAGCUUGCUAUCUUAUUACAUAAUUACCUCUAAAAUUGGGCUAAUUUUGGUCUUAGUUUAUCAUUAUGUUACUAGAUCUGAACUUUUCCCUUUUGAGAAGAAAAAAAACCACCUCACCCAGGCCGCAUCAUCUAUUUCCUGCCACCUCACCACCUUAACUCUUAUUCGUUUUCUUCUUAAAAUUCUGCUGCAGUACCAAAUCAUUCUUUCUCUUUUACACGGUUAGUGAAAGAUCCUAAAUCUGAAGCCAAAUUGAUCUCUAUGGUGAUGCAAAGGUUUGAAAAGUGUUUUGGAUGAUUGAAGAGCGAUGGAGUAUUGGCCGGAGAGACUUUUGAUAUUUUCUCUCUCUAGAAACGUUAACAUUAAUGUCAAUGUUAACAAUUAAUUGGGUUUUCUUUUGUUUUUAAAAACUAUUAUUUUAAUGAGUUUGUUAGAGUAGCGUUGAUUUGGCAUAAUUUGGAUCCUUAAAUUAGGAAAAGGAAGGUUAGGAUUUAAGAAACUCUACGCGAUAAGAAUAUCUUAGGAACUCUAGAAGAUCUUGAUCCUACAUUUUGUGCUCCAUAAUGAUGAAAAAUUAAAUAAUUAAUUGCUAUUGAUAAGAAGUUAUUAAAAAUAAUAACCAAAACCAAAAAAAAUUAUUAUUAUUAUUAUUAAAAAGGUGAAAACAUAUGAAUGAAAGUGUAGUGGGCCUUUUUUUGGUUAAAGUGGGCUUGGCUGCCUCCUGCGGUAUUGGGUCCGAGUGUUCUAGGUAUGGAAGUUGAGACUAGUCCAAUUGCUACUCAACUUGGUUCGGCUUGUGCACAAACUAUGCCUAGUCUGCCAGGUAGGGGUGUCCAAGGACCCGCAUCAACCGACCCGCCUGCCCGAAACCGCCCGAACCGAAGGUCCACGGGCGGCUCCGAAUCCACUCCACUGGUCGGUCACGGAUUGACAUUUAAAAAAUCUGAAUAGUUUGGAUCGGACCUGGGUUUCAAAAUAUUUCACCCGGAAAAUCCGAACCGACCGAAUUAUUUAUAAUAAUAAAAAAAAAAAAGUAGAUUUGACAUGUGGCUAGAUAGCCCAUCCCAGCAAAUCAGCAAUGCCAGCCCCAGAUUUUCCUCACACGUUCCCAACAUAAAUAUCAGCCGUUCAUCUCAAAUUAAAAUUUAAAAUGAAGGGUGUUGAUGAGAGUAAAACUGACUCAACUGGGCAUGAAAUGACCGGUUAUAGUGGCACAAUAACCCAUUUUUAAUCAACGGUUAGAAUACAAGAUGGAGAGCCAAUCUAACGGUGAGAAAUAAAGGGGAAAGAUCUGAUAUCUCAAAGACUCAAACGGAUUCAAGCCACUACUCUUCAGUCUUCACUCUUCUUCAGUUUUCACUUCAGAGCUAGAGGUCAGGUCAUGGACAUGGCUUCCCAUUCACGCCUUCUCCUUCCCUUUUCACUCUUCCUCACCUCUUCAGUCUUCACUUCUUCAGUCUCACACUCUCAGUUCUUUACCUACUCUCUCAAACUCUCUUAAACUCUCACAAUCUCACACUCUAUAAAGUCAAAACCGUAUCCCCAAAUCCAAACUACUGCUUCUCCAAAUCCAAAUUCUAAAGAACAAACCCUAGCCGCCUCCAAUGCCGUUACCCAGUCCCCUCUCUGCCUCCAACGCCUAGCGCCACCGCUGCUGUCCACUCCUCUCUCCAUAGCUACCGCCGGAGUCCUCACCCCGUGUACUCUUCACGGAGUCAAUAAGGAUUGAAAGCUGACUCCAGUCUCCAAGUAUCAUUAUUUGCUCUGAAGUUUGAAACCCAUACACCCACGAUUUUCUUCAAGGAUUGAAAGUUGAAUCCAAGUAUCAUUAUCUGCCCUCAAGUUUGAAACCCAUACACCCACGGUUUUCUUCAAGGUCAUGGAAACCAACACUAAUGAACCCUCUGUCCAAACACCAGCUGCUACAGAAGAUGAUGGUGCUAUUCCCACCCAAGUUGAAGAUUCUGCUGCUACCCAAGCUGAAGCAGCUGCUGCUUCUGAGUUGCCCCCAGUUCCACCAUGCCAAGUGAGUAUGAUAGCUCCUGUUAGUGGUGGUUGUAGUGGUAGGAAAAAGUCUUUUGUUUGGGGUCACUUUGAAAAAGUAAAGAUAGGUGAGGGUGAUACUAGUAAAACUAAGGCUAUCUGUAAUUAUUGUCAAAAAUCUUAUAAUGCUGAUAGUAAGAGUUGUGGUACUAGUAAUUUGUUAGCUCAUGUGCCAAUAUGUCCCAAGAACCCUAAUAGAGAAGAUGUAGUUAGAGGGUAGAAAACAUUAGCUUUUGUACCCAAAAAGGAUGGAGAAGACGGAUUCCACCUUGUGUCAACAUCCUUUUCUGUUGAGGCUUCUAGAAAGGCAUUGGCCGAAAUGGUUAUAAUUGAUGAGUUGCCUUUUAGGUAUGUCGAGGGGUAUGGGUUUAAGAAAUUUGUAAGUACCUUACAACCUAAUCUUAGAUUAAAGGAUAUCCCAUCUCGUCAAACUGUGACUAGGGAUGUAAUUGACAUUUAUAAUAAUGAGAGAGAGAAGUUAAGGAAAUCCUUGAAGGAUUGUAGGGUGUGUCUCACUACGGACACAUGGACUUCUAUUCAAAAUUUAAAUUAUAUGUGUCUGACUUGUCACUUUAUUGAUGAUGCUUGGAAAUUGCAUAAGAGAAUUCUAAAUUUUUGUCAAGUUGAAGACCACAAGGGGGAGACUAUAGGUAGAAAGAUUGAGAUGUCGUUGCGUGAGUGGGGUAUUGAUGGGAUAUUCACCUUGACGGUGGAUAAUGCUAGUUCAAAUUUAACAACAAUUAAAUUUUUGCAAAUGGUGACUAAAGAUUGGAAUGGGGUAGUUUUAGGAAAUGAGUACAUGCACAUAAGGUGUUGUGCCCAUAUCCUAAAUCUCAUUGUGGGGGAGGGUUUAAAAGAGAUAGAUGCAUCUGUUACUAAGGUGCGUGAAGCUGUGAGGUAUGUGAAGUCCUCACCCAAUAGAAGUCAAACUUUUAGGAGUUUUAUGGAGAGGUUAGGUAUGGAGUCCAAGAGUCUUCUUAGUCUAGAUGUACCUACUAGGUGGAACUCGACCUAUAUCAUGUUAGAAACUGCUGAAAAUUUUGAGAAAGUGUUCCUCCGAAUGGAUUUUGAAGAUGAUGGUUAUUCAUCGUACUUUAGGACCAAGGAAGAUAGUGGUGGUUUGUGGUCUCUAUGUAUGACUGAUUUCCAAAAUUGUAGGGCAUUUGUGACUUUCUUAAGGCUGUUUUAUAAUGCAACAAAGAAAUUUUCUGGUUCAUUGUAUGUUACUUCAAAUGCCUUCUAUGAUGAGAUCUUUGUUAUUCAGGAGAGUAUUUCCAAUUUAGUUAAAUCCCAAAACACUCUCUUGAAAAGCACAGCCACAAACAUGCAAACUAAGUUUGAGAAGUAUUGGGGGGAAGGGGAGAAAAUUGAUCCUCUUUUGUAUAUGGCUAUGGUCUUUGAUCCACGAAAAAAAUUAAGGUUUUUGAAGUUUUCAUUUUCUGAAAUUUAUGGGAAUGCAGUUGCAGAAGUGAUGGUUGAUAAGGUGAAAGACCUUUUAUUAAGUUGUAUAAUUUUUACACUUCUAUUCAUUCACCAAAUGUGCAAGAUCAAAGUGGGAGUGAGAGGACAGAAUUAGAAACUGAUGCUAGUGAUCCAUAUGUGAUGGUUCACUCGCGAUAUGAACAUUUUUUGCAAGUUGAGCAAUCUGUAGGUUGUAGUAAUGAGCUUGAGAGGUAUUUGGCUGAAAACUGUGAUGGUAGAAAGGAUGCAAAUUUUGAGAUAUUGGAGUGGUGGAGGGACAAUUGUAAUAGGUACCAAGUGUUGUCUAAAGUAGUUAAUGAUGUGCUGGCUGUGCCAGUUUCCACUGUUGCAUCUGAGUCAGCAUUUAGCACUGGAGGUCGAAUUGUUGAUCCAUUUUGAAGUGCACUAUCUCCUCUCAUGGUUCAAAACCUUGUAUGUUCACAAAAUUGGCUUCAAGCCACAGUUCCAAUUUCUCAUCGCCAGUCAAGGGAUGAUGUUGAGGCAUUGGAGGAGGAGUUACUUGACUUAGUUUUAAAUCAACAACCAACAGCAAAUACCAGCUCAAGCAAGGGUUCCACUUCAGGCAAACGACCCUUGAUUAGCAUUGAUGAUUAAUCACUGACUUGGAGGAUGGUAAAUUAUUUUGUAAAGAAGGCAGCAUUUUGGGAAUAUUUUGGAAGCUUUUUUGGACAUAUUGCUUUUCUAACUUGUAACAAUACUCAACUGUCAAUACUUAUAGAAAAGAAAUCUUAGUUCAUAGGUUUUCUUUUCUAUUAGUUAUAGACUUAUAAACUAUAGAGUAGUCAUUCAAUGCUUUGGAAAAGCUAUUUUUUGGAAAUACCUAUGGUAUUUGAUUAUUGUAAUUGAUUAUAUAGCUUGGAACAUUGUAUAACUAGCAAGUUUUCUGCCUUA